CCCACAUAGCCAGUAACAGUCCAAAUUUCUGGGAACAGUAAGAACCUCCAGUCACUGAAGUUCCUGACAGGGUGAGAAGCUUUUCUGUAGAAAUCGGAAGCAGUUUACACCUGACAGUCACUCCUGAGAGAGCUUGGAGUUUUCAGGUGAGAAGCAGCAGCUUCUGGAUGAUUAUGAAAUGUCCACACUGCUAUAUUUGCUACAACAGGUUGCACCACGUCAACUUCUGACUGAAGAUCUGGGUCCUCUCACUGCAACAGAAAAAAAGGCGAAGUGAAGAGGAAGCAGGGAGCUGAUACAGAAGUAUCUGCAAGUUCAGGCAAACAAAAAAAAGGAUGGUGAAAACAAGCAGAUGCAGGACCACAGCCAAUGGAUAGAUACCACCCAUAGGUAAAAUGGAUCUUUCCACUUCAAUUCACCCGACCUAGAAACUUCUUCUCUCAUAUGGGCCCAAAGGAACAUUGAGAACUGGACACUAAGAACUGCAGUAAACAUCAGAACAAACCCAUGUUCAACCCAGUGCCUCAGUGUAAUGUAGAAUUCUGGGCUGCAGCUUUGGCUUGUCAAUAGGACUGGGCUUAGAAAAUUGUGGUAAAGAAAGUUGAAGCUGUGAGACAGAAAGCUCUGAAACUAUCUGGCCAAGGGAAGCCACACACUCAAUACAACAGAAUCACAAGGACAAGCAGAAGAAUGUCUCUGCAGGUGCUACAGAGCUUUUCAUAAAGCACAGAUCCUCUGACCCUGGUUCUCAAGAAGGACAAGAGUUCAUCAUGGUGAGGAGUCCUGGAAGCAAGUAGCAGACUUGUUGGCCUGAGCACAAAGCAAAAACCCUUAUAGUCUCAAUUACAACUAUGAAGCAGAGAGACCAAAUUAGAUGCAAGGUGAGACUGUGAACAUGAAAAGCCUGUUCCCAGUGAAGUAAUUCCUCCAGCAAGCUCACACCUCCUAAACCUUCUGAAAUGGUGUCACCAACAGAGGACCAAGAAGAAGAGAGGUACUCAAGUCAUAGUGUGAUGUACAGAGCCAGUCCCAGGUGUGAGCUUCCAAUAUUAGGUACAAAUCCGAGCAUUCUAAUAUAGUCACUCAUAAGGAAACCUGU